rnacentral:rRNA from 1 species
UACGGAGGGUGCGAGCGUUGUCCGGAAUCACUGGGCGUAAAGGGCGCGUAGGCGGCGCGGGCAGUCAACGGUGAAAGCUUGGGGCUCAACCCCGAGUCGGCCGUCGAUACUCCCGUGCUUGAGCACUGUAGAGGCAGGUGGAAUUCCGGGUGUAGCGGUGGAAUGCGUAGAGAUCCGGAAGAACACCGGUGGCAAAGGCGGCCUGCUGGGCAGAAGCUGACGCUGAGGCGCGACAGCGUGGGGAGCAAACAGG